rnacentral:sRNA from 1 species
UCAAAUUUGUUUGAAGGGAUGAUGGGUGAACGAUGAAAAACUAAUCAUAUUUUUGUAAAAAUAGCAUUUUUGCUGUUUAACCAAAAUAGGAUUAGUCUGCCCAUUUUUUCAUAUAAGUGUCUGCGAAAUAUUUGCAGAUUUUAUUGUGAUUUGAAAAAAUAUUGUGACGACUAGUCCUUCCGAAGUCAUCGGGGGGAUUUUUUG